AGCGAACGCUGGCGGCAGGCCUAACACAUGCAAGUCGAGCGCCGUAGCAAUACGGAGCGGCAGACGGGAGAGUAACACGUGGGAACGUGCCCUUUGGUUCGGAACAACCCAGGGAAACUUGGGCUAAUACCGGAUAAGCCCUUACGGGGAGAGAUUUAUCGCCGAAGGAUCGGCCCGCGUCUGAUUGGCUAGUUGGUGGGGUAAUGGCCCACCAAGGCGACGAUCAGUAGCUGGUCUGAGAGGAUGAUCAGCCUCACUGGGACUGAGACACGGCCCAGACUCCUACGGGAGGCAGCAGUGGGGAAUAUUGGACAAUGGGCGCAAGCCUGAUCCAGCCAUGCCGCGUGGGUGAUGAAGGCCCUAGGGUUGUAAAGCCCUUUCGGCGGGGAAGAUAAUGACGGUACCCGCAGAAGAGGCCCCGGCUAACUUCGUGCCAGCCGCCGCCGUAA
rnacentral:rRNA from 1 species